rnacentral:tRNA from 1 species
UCCCCUAUAGUGUAGUGGUUUAGCAUAUCAGAUUUUCAGUGCUCACUGAACGUCUCUGAAGACCCGGGUUCAAACCCCGGUGGGGGAA